AAACCCAAAAGUCAGACAGGUAAAGUUAAAUAAAUCUGCAAAACAAGCCAAAUAAAAAUCAUAUCACAUUGCACUCCGGAUGUGCUGACCACUGCGAUUUCCCCAAAUGUGGGAAACUCGACUGCAUAAUUUGUGGUAGUGGGGGACUGCGUUUGCGCUUUCCCCUG